CAGAAUCUCUAGUGGCACAGCUAGCACUGCGAUGCCGUACCUUAGACCACUGAGCCACUCGGGAGGCAGGGUGUUAAUAUUCUGAGCCAGUGGUGGACAAGGAUGAGGAUGCCUCGCGGCUAGGUCAGAGAGUCAUUCAGUGGUGGACAGAGGAUGAGGACGCCUCGCGGCUAGAUCAGAGAGUCAUUCAGUGGUGGACAGAGGAUGAGGACGCCUCGCGGCUAGAUCAGAGAGUAAUUCAGUGGUGGACAGAGGAUGAGGACGCCUCGCGGCUAGGUCAGAGAGUCAUUCAGUGGUGGACAGAGGAUGAGGACGCCUCACGGCUAGGUCAGAGAGUCAUUCAGUGGUGGACAGAGGAUGAGGACGCCUCACAGCUAGGUCAGAGAGUCAUUCAGUGGUGGACAGAGGAUGAGGACGCCUCACAGCUAGGUCAGAGAGUCAUUCAGUGGUGGACAGAGGAUGAGGACGCCUCACAGCUAGGUCAGAGAGUCAUUCAGUGGUGGACAGAGGAUGAGGACGCCUCACAGCUAGGUCAGAGAGUCAUUCAGUGGUGGACAGAGGAUGAGGACGCCUCACAGCUAGGUCAGAGAGUCAUUCAGUGGUGGACAGAGGAUGAGGACGCCUCACAGCUAGGUCAGAGAGUCAUUCAGUGGUGGACAGAGGAUGAGGACGCCUCACAGCUAGGUCAGAGAGUCAUUCAGUGGUGGACAGAGGAUGAGGACGCCUCACAGCUAGGUCAGAGAGUAAUUCAGUGGUGGACAGAGGAUGAGGAUGCCUCGCGGCUAGGUCAGAGAGUCAUUCAGUGGUGGACAGAGGAUGAGGACGCCUCACAGCUAGGUCAGAGAGUCAUUCAGUGGUGGACAGAGGAUGAGGACGCCUCACAGCUAGGUCAGAGAGUCAUUCAGUGGUGGACAGAGGAUGAGGACGCCUCACAGCUAGGUCAGAGAGUCAUUCAGUGGUGGACAGAGGAUGAGGACGCCUCACAGCUAGGUCAGAGAGUCAUUCAGUGGUGGGUCCAAAGUCUGCUCUGCCGACACACUAAUACUUCCACACACAUUCUCAAA